CAGACAGAAGGAGGGGAUCACCCUCAGCAUAAUACUACCGGAUGCUGUAGGGCCAGCAGAAUAUUCAGCGGUAGCCGCGCUGUCAGGGGGAGGGGGUCACUCAACCCACAAUGGAGUCACAUGUCCAUUAUUAUGGCCCAGUAGAGGGCAGUGCCCCAGAAAUGUAGACCCAUGGGUAAUAACAGGGCUGUAUGGGGAGCCAGUUAGCCUCCCUGAGGGGUAGAAGGGAGUGUCAGGUCAGAUAGGUGUAGGUCAGGGACAGACCCUGCCAUCCACUUCAUAUUGCAUCAUGUACAUACAGAUUGAAACUGACUACCGUAUAUACUCGAGUAUAAG